AACGUAGGUGGCGAGCGUUAUCCGGAUUUACUGGGCGUAAAGCGUGCGCAGGCGGUUUUGUAAGUCAGAUGUGAAAUCCCCGGGCUUAACCUGGGAACUGCGUUUGAAACUACAAGGCUAGAGUGUGGCAGAGGGGGGUGGAAUUCCACGUGUAGCAGUGAAAUGCGUAGAGAUGUGGAGGAACACCGAUGGCGAAGGCAGCCCCCUGGGUUAACACUGACGCUCAGGCACGAAAGCGUGGGGAGCAAACAGG
rnacentral:rRNA from 1 species